AUUGAACGCUGGCGGCAUGCUUUACACAUGCAAGUCGAACGGUAACAGGCCGCAAGGUGCUGACGAGUGGCGAACGGGUGAGUAAUGCAUCGGAACGUGCCCAGUCGUGGGGGAUAACUACUCGAAAGAGUAGCUAAUACCGCAUACGAUCUAUGGAUGAAAGCGGGGGACCGUAAGGCCUCGCGCGAUUGGAGCGGCCGAUGUCAGAUUAGGUAGUUGGUGGGGUAAAGGCUCACCAAGCCAACGAUCUGUAGCUGGUCUGAGAGGACGACCAGCCACACUGGGACUGAGACACGGCCCAGACUCCUACGGGAGGCAGCAGUGGGGAAUUUUGGACAAUGGGCGCAAGCCUGAUCCAGCAAUGCCGCGUGCGGGAAGAAGGCCUUCGGGUUGUAAACUGCUUUUGUACGGAACGAAACGGCUCUGGUUAAUACCCGGGGCUAAUGACGGUACCGUAAGAAUAAGCACCGGCUAACUACGUG
rnacentral:rRNA from 1 species